rnacentral:lncRNA from 1 species
AGAGAGAGAGAGAGAGAGAGAGAGAGCUUUGGUGAGGGUGAGGGAAUAGAUUGCAGAGAGAAUUCACACAGAUUCAUAAGGUUCCAAGGGUGCCGAAAAUGAGAGAGGUGAGUUUCUUAAAUAGAGCUUAGGUUUGGGAAUUUGGUAGCUUUGGAUUCAGGUUUGGAGUUAGUUAGAGAAGGCAUGGAAUUAGUUGGUGUUGACUCACUGAGUUAAUUGAGAACUCAGCUAGUUAGUGAAUAAGAACUCAGUUAGUUAGGUUGGUUUUAAUUGAUUAAUGACUUAAUGAAAUGAAUUUUAACUGCCUGUAGUAGGUUAGGCUUAGGUUACAUUCAUGUUGAAAUGAUCUUGGUGACCUGCUAUCCAUGUUGUAGGUGGAACUCAUGUGACAUUGGUUUGGCUUGAAAUGAUGUGUAAUGGCUUUGAUACUCCAACUGGCUAUAGCAGGUAACAUACUAAAUUGGAAUUGGGAGAUCAGGUCCUUAGAUCAAAAGUAACCUCCUGAACUGGUAAUUGUUAAAUGCAAGUGUAUUU